UACGUAGGGUGCGAGCGUUAAUCGGAAUUACUGGGCGUAAAGCGUGCGCAGGCGGCGCGUUAAGACAGGUGUGAAAGCCCCGAGCUUAACUCGGGAAUUGCGCUUGUGACUGGCGUGCUGGAGUGUGGCAGAGGGAGGUGGAAUUCCACGUGUAGCAGUGAAAUGCGUAGAGAUGUGGAGGAACACCGAUGGCGAAGGCAGCCUCCUGGGCCAGCACUGACGCUCAUGCACGAAAGCGUGGGGAGCAAACAGG
rnacentral:rRNA from 1 species